CGCAAUGGACGAAAGUCUGACGGAGCAACGCCGCGUGAACGAUGAAGGCUUUCGGGUCGUAAAGUUCUGUUGUCAGGGAAGAACAAGUAUCGGAGUAACUGCCGGUACCUUGACGGUACCUGACCAGAAAGCCACGGCUAACUACGUGCCAGCAGCCGCGGUAAUACGUAGGUGGCAAGCGUUGUCCGGAAUUAUUGGGCGUAAAGCGCGCGCAGGCGGUUCCUUAAGUCUGAUGUGAAAGCCCCCGGCUCAACCGGGGAGGGUCAUUGGAAACUGGGGAACUUGAGUGCAGAAGAGGAGAGCGGAAUUCCACGUGUAGCGGUGAAAUGCGUAGAGAUGUGGAGGAACACCAGUGGCGAAGGCGGCUCUCUGGUCUGUAACUGACGCUGAGGCGCGAAAGCGUGGGGAGCGAACAGGAUUAGAUACCCUGGUAGUCCACGCCGU
rnacentral:rRNA from 1 species